GCGAUGGUGGUAUAGUGGUAAGCAUAGCUGCCUUCCAAGCAGUUUUGACCCGGGUUCGAUUCCCGGCCAUCGCA